rnacentral:tRNA from 1 species
GGGCGAGUGGCGAAAUCUGGCAGACGCGCAGGAUUCAGGUUCCUGUGUCCGCAAGGACGUGGGGGUUCAAGUCCCCCCUCGCCCA